UACGUAGGGUGCGAGCGUUGUCCGGAAUACUGGGCGUAAAGCGUGCGCAGGCGGUUUCUUAAGUCAGAUGUGAAAUCCCCGGGCUCAACCUGGGAAUGGCAUUUGGGACUGCAAGGCUUGAGUGCGGCAGAGGAGACUGGAAUUCCUGGUGUAGCAGUGAAAUGCGUAGAUAUCGAGGAGAUACGGAUGGAGCGGAAGGCCGUCGGU
rnacentral:rRNA from 1 species